AGCCCGUAGAGCCACCCCCUGUUCCUUUCCCUCAGCAACCUGGAGCCUGGGAAGAGAGUGAACAGUGAAGGUCACUGGGGAAGCUUCACAGAAGGGAGGGGAGUCAACGCCACGUUGUCUGCCGGUUACAUGCCAGGCUGUCCCAUUUGUAUGCUAUUGCCCAGCACAUGGAAAGGAGCAGAAGCUUUUGAGGGAAAUAAAGAUGGGGUGGAUAAAGAUAAUGAACCAGACCGUGGGUGCUCAGCUGAGUGGGGACUGAGGAGAUGGAAGAGGAGGGGGAGACUCGAGAUAUUUAACCAGAGUGUCAGAGUCGUAGGCAAAUAGAGAUGGGAAGGAGAGGACCAAAGUGCCCUAGAAAUAGGGGAUUCUGGGCACCAACAGUAACGUGGAUGAGCUUAAAGGAAAAUGAGGAGAUAAAGGAGAUCAAAUAAAAAGGGUGCAGAAGGGAUACUGGGGGGAGGUACAAGGGUGUGUCUGUGAUGAAAGUUGGAUGUGGAGGGGAUAAUACAGAGUUAUGUAAAGAGAGGGUGGCUGCUUUAGGUGUGGGAAGCCACGGACCCCACAGAAGUUUCAAGUUUUGUCACAAAGGAAUUAAAAAGAGCAAAACAAUUUUCAAGAAAGGUGCCUCUCCUGUCAUUCCUUUCUAGCUGGAGGGAUUGGAAAGCAGGUUUGUUUCCCUAAGGAGUGCUACGAUUUUCAAGCAGGGAGAUGUGGGCUUCCUUCCAAGAGUUGGACCAAUAGGAAAGGCCGAGCCAGGUGGCAGUUUCUCUUCUUGACUAACAGAGCCUUAGGACUUUUACAUCCCUUUGAGGAUCUUCCCGAGCGAAAUUUCAUUCAUAAACUACAAAACAACAGAAAAGUCUAACAUCGAAGCUAAUAACAGUAACUUCCAAAAUUGAGGACUGAACCACAGCAGUCAAACUUAACAACCCUUUGAUCAAAUUACAAAACUGGUGACUAAAAGGAACAUGAAACCUGUGAUCCAGUUUUGCAAAAUCUUAUUUGAAAUCUUAUUCAGAUUAACAAGAACAGUGUCACAUGUGCUGAAAAUGGAAAGACCGUAAA